rnacentral:rRNA from 1 species
GAUCAACGCUGGCGGCGUGCCUAACACAUGCAAGUCGAACGCGAAAAGGGGCAACCCUGAGUAGAGUGGCGUCCGGGUGAGUAACACGUGGAUAAUCUGCCUGCGGGCGGGGAAUAACUUUCCGAAAGGGGAGCUAAUACCGCAUAACACCGUAAUGGGGCAUCCUGAGACGGUCAAAGAGGGGGAUCGCAAGACCUCUCGCCUGUAGAGGAGUCCGCGGCCGAUUAGCUAGUUGGGAGGUAAAGGCUCACCAAGGCGACGAUCGGUAGCUGGUUUGAGAGAACGACCAGCCACACUGGGACUGAGACACGGCCCAGACUCCUACGGGAGGCAGCAGUGGGGAAUUUUGGACAAUGGGCGCAAGCCUGAUCCAGCCAUGCCGCGUGCGGGAUGAAGGCCU